rnacentral:lncRNA from 1 species
CAUAUGCAGAUUCUAUAAUAAAUCAAUAAAUCAUGUUAUUUCAGAAAUCUCAAUUUUCAAAUCACUUGCUAUUCAAAAUAUAAUUUUAUAAAUCAUGCAUAAUUCAAAGAAUAAUUAUUUACUUUUGAAAUAAAUUAUGCAAUAUCUUGAAAAAACAGUUGAUUAUUUAUCUCUACGGAAUACUGAAUAGACAGAUUCAAUCAAUCCAAAAGCAUCCUUUAUAAUUUAUUAUUUAAAAUAUAUUCUUUUAUCAGUCUUAAACUACAACUAAUGAAAAUUUUAAGUUCUGAAACUCUCAUAAGAUUGACAAAAAUGAUAGCAUGCAAUGUCCCAU